rnacentral:misc_RNA from 1 species
GUGAAUCAUCGAAUUUUUGAACGCAAAUUGCGCCUUUUGCGGAAGGCAUGUCUGUUUGAGUCCACCAGUUAACAAAUAAUGUGCGGCGUUUUUUGUGGCGCACGUUUAUGAGCUUUCCAAGAAUGGUAAAUUUUUGGUGGCGCAUAAUGAACAGCGGGAAGGUUUUUUUCGGUUCAAGUUUAGUAAAAUCUUUGCUUUGGUUGUUAAAAAACAUAAUCGCUCAAUGGUUGUGGCUAUGUCUUGUUAUCCCUGCCCCAAUGCCACUCUUUCUCA